rnacentral:rRNA from 1 species
UACAGAGGUCUCAAGCGUUGUUCGGAAUUACUGGGCGUAAAGGGCUCGUAGGCGGCCAACUAAGUCAGACGUGAAAUCCCUCGGCUUAACCGGGGAACUGCGUCUGAUACUGGAUGGCUUGAGGUUGGGAGAGGGAUGCGGAAUUCCAGGUGUAGCGGUGAAAUGCGUAGAUAUCUGGAGGAACACCGGUGGCGAAGGCGGCAUCCUGGACCAAUUCUGACGCUGAGGAGCGAAAGCCAGGGGAGCAAACGGG